rnacentral:rRNA from 1 species
CGCUGGCGGCGCGCCUAACACAUGCAAGUCGAACGGAGCUGUUUUCUCUGAAGUUUUCGGAUGGAAGAGAGCUCAGCUUAGUGGCGAACGGGUGAGUAACACGUGAGCAACCUGCCUUUCAGUGGGGGACAACAUUUGGAAACGAAUGCUAAUACCGCAUAAGACCACAGUGACGCAUGGCACAGGGGUCAAAGGAUUUAUCCGCUGAAAGAUGGGCUCGCGUCCGAUUAGCUAGAUGGUGAGGUAACGGCCCACCAUGGCAACGAUCGGUAGCCGGACUGAGAGGUUGAACGGCCACAUUGGGACUGAGACACGGCCCAGACUCCUACGGGAGGCAGCAGUGGGGAAUAUUGCACAAUGGGGGAAACCCUGAUGCAGCGACGCCGCGUGGAGGAAGAAGGUCUUCGGAUUGUAAACUCCUGUCCCAGGGGACGAUAAUGACGAUACCCUGGGAGGAAGCACCGGCUAACUACGUGCCAGCAGCCGCGGUAAAACGUAGGGUGCAAGCGUUGUCCGGAAUUACUGGGUGUAAAGGGAGCGCAGGCGGAUUGGCAAGUUGGGAGUGAAAUCUAUGGGCUCAACCCAUAAAUUGCUUUCAAAACUGUCAGUCUUGAGUGGUGUAGAGGUAGGCGGAAUUCCCGGUGUAGCGGUGGAAUGCGUAGAUAUCGGGAGGAACACCAGUGGCGAAGGCGGCCUACUGGGCACUAACUGACGCUGAGGCUCGAAAGCAUGGGUAG